rnacentral:rRNA from 1 species
AUGAACGCUGGCGGCGUGCUUAACACAUGCAAGUCGAACGAAGCACCUUGAUUUGAUUCUUCGGAUGAAGAUCUUGGUGACUGAGUGGCGGACGGGUGAGUAACGCGUGGGUAACCUGCCUCAUACAGGGGGAUAACAGUUAGAAAUGACUGCUAAUACCGCAUAAGACCACAGCACCGCAUGGUGCAGGGGUAAAAACUCCGGUGGUAUGAGAUGGACCCGCGUCUGAUUAGGUAGUUGGUGGGGUAACGGCCUACCAAGCCGACGAUCAGUAGCCGACCUGAGAGGGUGACCGGCCACAUUGGGACUGAGACACGGCCCAAACUCCUACGGGAGGCAGCAGUGGGGAAUAUUGCACAAUGGGGGAAACCCUGAUGCAGCGACGCCGCGUGAGCGAUGAAGUAUUUCGGUAUGUAAAGCUCUAUCAGCAGGGAAGAAAAUGACGGUACCUGACUAAGAAGCACCGGCUAAAUACGUGCCAGCAGCCGCGGUAAUACGUAUGGUGCAAGCGUUAUCCGGAUUUACUGGGUGUAAAGGGAGCGUAGACGGAGUGGCAAGUCUGAUGUGAAAACCCGGGGCUCAACCCCGGGACUGCAUUGGAAACUGUCAAUCUAGAGUACCGGAGAGGUAAGCGGAAUUCCUAGUGUAGCGGUGAAAUGCGUAGAUAUUAGGAGGAACACCAGUGGCGAAGGCGGCUUACUGGACGGUAACUGACGUUGAGGCUCGAAAGCGUGGGGAGCAAACAGGAUUAGAUACCCUGGUAGUCCACACCGUAAACGAUGGAUACUAGGUGUAGGAAAUAUUAAGUUUUCUGUGCCGUCGCAAACGCAGUAAGUAUCCCACCUGGGGAGUACGGCCGCAAGGUUGAAACUCAAAGGAAUUGACGGGGGCCCGCACAAGCAGUGGAGUAUGUGGUUUAAUUCGAAGCAACGCGAAGAACCUUACCAAGGCUUGACAUAUACAGGAAUAUUUAAGAGAUUAAAUAGCUCUUCGGAGUCUGUAUACAGGUGGUGCAUGGUUGUCGUCAGCUCGUGUCGUGAGAUGUUGGGUUAAGUCCCGCAACGAGCGCAACCCCUAUCUUUAGUAGCCAGCGGUCAGGCCGGGCACUCUAGAGAGACUGCCAGGGAUAACCUGGAGGAAGGUGGGGAUGACGUCAAAUCAUCAUGCCCCUUAUGAGCAGGGCUACACACGUGCUACAAUGGCGUAAACAAAGGGAGGCAGAACCGCGAGGUCGAGCAAAUCCCAAAAAUAACGUCUCAGUUCGGAUUGUAGUCUGCAACUCGACUACAUGAAGCUGGAAUCGCUAGUAAUCGCGAAUCAGAAUGUCGCGGUGAAUACGUUCCCGGGUCUUGUACACACCGCCCGUCACACCAUGGGAGUCAGUAACGCCCGAAGUCAGUGACCCAACCGUAAGGAGGGAGCUGCCGAAGGUGGGACCGAUAACUGGGGUG